rnacentral:rRNA from 1 species
AAUAGAUACCCGGGUAGUCCUAGCCGUAAACGAUACUCGCUAGGUGUCGGCCACGGUGCGACCGUUGUCGGUGCCGUAGGGAAGCCGUGAAGCGAGCCACCUGGGAAGUACGGCCGCAAGGCUGAAACUUAAAGGAAUUGGCGGGGGAGCACCACAACGGGUGGAGCUUGCGGUUUAAUUGGAUUCAACGCCGGAAAUCUUACCGGGACCGACAGCAACAUGAAGGCCAGGCUGAAGACUUUGCCGGAUUAGCUGAGAGGUGGUGCAUGGCCGUCGUCAGUUCGUACUGUGAAGCAUCCUGUUAAGUCAGGCAACGAGCGAGACCCACGCCCACAGUUGCCAGCGUACUCUCUGGAGUGACGGGUACACUGUGGGGACCGCCGCUGCUAAAGCGGAGGAAGGAAUGGGCAACGGUAGGUCAGUAUGCCCCGAAUAUCCCGGGCUACACGCGAGCUACAAUGGUUGGUACAAUGGGUAUCGUACCCCGAAAGGGGAUGGAAAUCUCCUAAAGCCAAUCUUAGUUCGGAUUGAGGGCUGCAACUCGCCCUCA